rnacentral:rRNA from 1 species
UGCUGGGUGAAUUUAGAUGCUUGGUAAGCACUGCCCGGUGCCCGAUGGGGUAAACGGUGGUCUUUUAGGUUUUAAUGUAGCGUAAUACCUCGCCCUUUAAUUGUGGGCUUGCAUGAAGUGUUUACGAGGGGAUUACUGUCUCUUUCUAAUAUUGAUAAAUUGAAUUGCAGGUGCAAUUGCCUGUGUAGGGGUAAAAGACGAUAAGACCCCGUGCAGCUUUAUACUAUUGGUUAUGGAUGAUUGAAAUGUUAUUUGGUUGGGGCAACAGGGGAAUAAGAAAAACUUCCUUGGGUAUGCGGGUACAUUAUUAGGUAGAAUGGUUUUGCGGUAUACUUAAAUAGUAGCUUAGGAAAACUGGCGGGUGACGAUCUGAUUUGAUAGAUAAGCGGAGAAGUUACGCCGGGGAUAACAGCGCUAUCUUCAAUUGGAGUACUUAUCUGAUUGUGGGCUUGCGACCUCGAUGUUGAAUUAGCGUGAACCUAUGGGUGAAGAGGCUCAUGGGAAGGACUGUUCGUCCUCUAAGACGCUA